rnacentral:lncRNA from 1 species
ACAGGUCACAAUCAGUGAGAAAAGUAAACCAUAAAGAUGACUGGCAAGUACAUAGAAAGGAAAAGUGCUAAAGGAAACUGAGCUACAGGGAGGGGAAGCCUCAAGGAGGGAGCAGAAUGAGUUUUAGGCAAAGGAUAGGCAGAGGUGGGUCCAUGGAGGAGACAGACGAGGUGAGGGAAGCCUCGGCUUUGGGAACAGAGGGUCUUUGAAGGUAUGAAGUGUGCACUGUCACCUUGCGUGAAAUGGGGCUAUGAAUGGUUGCACUGAGCAGUAUUACAAGGUACUUGGCUGGCUCUGCCCAGACUCAUGGUGUCCUUUAAGGCCUUCAGUGGAUCUCCCAUGUGGCAAAGCUUUUGACUGAUGCUGCCGGAGCUGAUAGCAGGGCUAGGUAUCAUUGGCUUUAGCAGCCACCCCAUAGACCCCAGAGUGCAUUUUCUGAAUGAGUGUGCCAUGUGAAUGGAGCUGGCUGCCAUCUUCCAGGAUUGAGGUAUUAUUCUAGUUAGUCUCAAGGCCUCCGUCUUGCUCUGGUUCACCUGUGGAAAGCUGAGCUUUGGCUCAUAAUCCCAGACUGCUAGCCAUGACUAAUGUACCCAACCAUCUACCCAUCCUCCAAGCCCAAAUAGGAAAAGCCAAUUCCAUUUAGGAAAAAAAAAUAUCCAUAAGUCAAAGUUCACCUCCCCUGGUGGCUGUCAAGGACUAAGAGCCAAGAACAUCCAUCACCUCUUAGCAUAGCUCCCACAAGUACCUGUCCUGCAGGGCAGGGCCUCUUCCCACUUCAUCCUACUAGACUAAACUUUAGUAGGAACAGUAAAGAAAGGAGAUGGCAUCUCCUUGAGACUUGCCAGUCUGUGAAAUGGGAUGGUCACAGCUGAUACUCUGCUGCUGUAAGAACCUGGAUGAUCAUUUGAAAGUCUGAGUUACUGGAUAAGAGCGGCACACAGAACAUUAGCUUAUUAACUGCCUCCCUCUCUGUCUGGAUUUUGCGGAUAGCUACAUUGACUCCAUGAAAAGAAGCCACAUUCCCAGAACAGAAGCACAACCCUUCUGAAGUUACUGGAAUGAGGGUACAGGUCUGCCUUUGGGCCCUUUAUAUAACAGUAGCUAUAGUCCCAGCCGUGGCUCCCUCCCCUCCCUGCAACACAGCUCUGUAAGCUAUGAGAAGAGGGAGCUCUUCCUUCCCAUUCAGGCCUUUGGCUGUAAAGUGUGGGGAAGCAGGCUGACCUUAGAGGGCCAUAUUGCUGGGGCUUCCCAUAUCUGGGUUCUUGGAAAGGCAGGAACAUCCAGACUUGCCAUGGGCACCUGCUGAUAAUUUGUGCUGUCCUGGUAUCUGGUGGUGUGUGUUCUUGUGUAAUCUGUGGGCUACUUGUGUCUUGAAAUGUAGAAUCAUUUCAUUCAGGAUUGUUACUAUUUGUUGGGAAGAAAAAAUGAAAUAGAAGCAACCUAGUCUUACAUCGUGUCUUGUUACCAUUUAAGAUUGACAUUUAAUUUUUCAAGUCAUUGUUGGUGCCUAAUCACUUAAGUUAUUAAUUUAUUCUGUUUUCAAAAAAUUGUAACAUAUUUAUCUUGUGAAGUCUGGGGGUGGGGUGGGAAAUGUGUUCAAGUGAGUCCUGUUUCACAGUGGUAACAAAUGGUACAGGCCUGGAGCUUGCAGGUCCCUUUUUAUUAUGGUGUAGAAGCAGGACAAUAAAGUCCUUUAGAAAUGU